AAUGUCAAGAAAACAACAUUUUAACACACAAACAUUGAAAUUGGAUUGAUUCCAUGACAAGAGCCUACAAAAACGACUGCACACACACUACAUGAAGCAACCACCAAUGCAAGCAAUGGGCCAUCAUUUUUGCUAGUGAAAAAAUAUGGAUUUAUAGAAUAUGGAUUAUAUUUUAAAUAUUCCAAAACAAAUCUAGAUUACAUGCUCUAACAUCAUUUUGUUUUCACAGAGUCCUAAGACCUACCUACCAUAGAAUAGGUAGCCAAAGAUGAUGUGAAGGUCUUUGUUGGUUGUUAAGGUGUUAACCAGGUCCGUAGCUCGAGUACCAGACAGGGCAAAGAUGGAGGAGAAGAGGUUGGCGAUGCCGGACUUCAGCAAGAACAGAGCCAGCCACAGGGGGAUCAGCUUCAGAAUGGCCAGGUUUCGAUGGCAGGGAUGUCGUCUGGGAACUGCUUCUUCAGGUGAGCCUCCAUCUCUGUCUUGCCGGACAAGACGGUGUACAAUCGCUUCUCACGUCCCUCGCCGAUGUGGAGGUUGUCGAAGUGCUGGUUCAGCUUCACGAACUCCAGCUGGCCCUCGGUGAUCUGAUCAAAGGCGAUACGCAGCAGACUGUUUUCAUGGAGUUGGCCAAUGUAGUGGAGACCUGCAAGGGAAAAUGGGGAGAAAUACCAAUGAGAGGGUGUGACAGCAGCCUCCUGACUGGUCAUGCUGCUCCAGGACCAAGACCUUCUUGCCCACUUUGGCCAUGGUGGCAGCCACGGUCAGACCCCCAAUGCCACUACCAAUGACUAUUG